rnacentral:rRNA from 1 species
GAGUUUGAUCUUGGCUCAGAUUGAACGCUGGCGGCAUGCCUUACACAUGCAAGUCGAGCGGCAGCGCGGGGGUAACCCUGGCGGCGAGCGGCGAACGGGUGAGUAAUACAUCGGAACGUGUCCAGUAGUGGGGGAUAGCUCGGCGAAAGCCGGAUUAAUACCGCAUACGAUCUACGGAUGAAAGCGGGGGACCGCAAGGCCUCGCGCUAUUGGAGCGGCCGAUGUCGGAUUAGCUAGUUGGCGGGGUAAAAGCCCACCAAGGCGACGAUCCGUAGCUGGUCUGAGAGGACGACCAGCCACACUGGAACUGAGACACGGUCCAGACUCCUACGGGAGGCAGCAGUGGGGAAUUUUGGACAAUGGGGGCAA